rnacentral:lncRNA from 1 species
GCAAGUUCCAGGGAUCUCAGAAGCUUGGCUAUUUCGUUCAGUGCCAAGGAGGCAAAGAUGAGGACAGGCAGUCGUGUGGGUGGGAGGCAGUCCUUGGAUGAUUAGCACAGGUGUCCAGGAGGGAGGGGAGGGUAUGGAAAUGGUACAAACAUGAGAGGAAGCUGUGCCAGUGGGUCAUCAUGCCCCAUUUGUACAGAACAUUGAGUGGACUGUAACUGUGGACAACUGAAAUACCGAAAAGAAAAUGUGCACACACUGUUUAAAUUCUAAACAGUGGGAGAAUCGUUGUUUAAAGAAGAACAGAUAAUUGCUCAUUCCACCCUCCCCAGUCUUUGAAAGAUAGACACAGGAGUGUCACACAGUACAAGAGUUUGUAUUACACAGAAAGAGGGACUUACAGACAGAAACAAAAUUUAAAAACAAACAAACCACCAGCAUUUAUCACCGUUUAUCCAGCCAGUGGUUUUCUUUAUCCCCUUGGCUAUUACUUUAGAUAUUUUUGCUUGGAACUUCUCCCCCACUUUUUCUGACAGCUCAUUGAUCUUGGGUUGGAUCAUCACAGUUCGUGGGAAACAAUACAGGCUACUUUUCUAGCUUAUUCCUUCUUAGAUGCCUCUUGGAUAUUGUCCAUUUAAUAUGUUUGAGAAAUAUAGAGAGACAAAACACACAGUGUUUUAAUCUCAGAGUAUAUGUAGUGUGUCCCUGGAGAAGAAGUCUCAUAUAUCCAAGGGAAUCAUUCCAUUAUUUUAAAGUAAGGCUUGUAUUUCAGAUUGAUCCACCUGGAACAUGUAAUCAAAACUCAUGAACUUUAAUAUAAAUUCCAGAUUCUGGUUUCUUAUCUAUAUUUUUGGGAACAUAACAUUGGUAGAUAAACUAAUUGAAAAAAAUAUUUUCAAUGUUGAUUUAGAAAUGGCUUUUAACUAUUUCUACACAUUCCAUCACUCCAUCUCAGAAGAAGCGGAGUAGAAAACUGCAGCAAAUGGGACUUUAUAUUAAAGUCCUAGGAAAUAUAUUCUGGCUGAUGUGAUGGUUCUUGUGUGUUUCAGUAGGCAUGUAACAUGUGAAUCGCUUUGUGGAACUGGGUUCGUGAGGCUAGUAUUUAUGAAGCUGUAUAUUUCCUUCUGUGUAGUAACACAGAGAGUGAUUCAGGAGAAUGAGAAAAUCCUGUUUCCUGGAAAUACCAUCCAUCCUGAAGGAGUUACGAGAACCAGAACAGAUAUGUAUUUUGCUAUUUAUCUCACACUUAAAGAUUAUACAAUCCAUUUUCCUAGGGCAAGCACAAAUGGUCAGUUUUAUAAAUCUUGAUGGACUAAGUCAAGUAAAAAAGCCCACUAGUUAAGAGUCCAGAUAUCGAGAGACACAAAUCUGAGGAACGAUCAAUUAGGACACCGUGGUAGCUUGUCUCCAAGAUGUCCAUCAUCAGCUCUUUCCUUCCCUGCAUGUUUGUGCUGUUCUCUAGUUGAACGGUGGCGUCUAUUCACUCCCUUAAAACUGGACUGGACUGUGACUUCUCUGAACAACAGUGACGUGAUGUUUCAUUCCCAGUGUUUGAGAGGAUAGGAAAUUUCUAAUUUCUUUUCCUUGGAACAUUUGCUCAGGAAAAAGCCAGUAACUAUGUAAGAAGGCUAACUACUGCGAGACCACCAUGCUAUGAGAAAGCGCAAGCCAUGUGGAGUGACUGCACGGGCUCUCAGAGAUGCCCAGCCAAGCCCCACCCUCCAUCCACCCGAGCCGAGGCUCUGCAGCCUACAGAUGAUUUCAAUUCCAGCCAUAAUCUAACUCCAACUUCACAGGAGACCUGAAGCAAGAACUAGCCAAAGAGAUGAAAAAGAUGCACAUAACUUUCCUUCUAAAAUUAUGGCCGUCCUCUGUAGUAAAUAAUUAUUUGCCACUUGAACUUGGAACCACUGCUAUUCGCACCAUUGGGGUCCUGGGACUCAAAAGAAACCAAGUGGUUCUCUAAGUUAGUAGGAUGGCACAGUAACAACGCUGGGAUUGAGCUCACCCUGACCCUGAGUAAGUUACCAAGACCCUCAGACUCAGUUUUCUUAUCUGGAAAGUUAGGAAUGAAAAAAAUCAGUUUCAAAGGAUUGCUGCAAAAUUAAAUGAAGUGCUAUGCACCUGUUGAAGUCAAGUAUAGCAUGCUCCCCAAUCACCCCCCAACACACACACCAGAACUAACAAUUCAGGAAGGAAAUUUUCAGUAUAUUGGUGUUUCUCACAGAGGGUCAAAGUGGGACAAUAAGAAUGCCUUAAAUGUAACACAUUGUAUUUAUUAAAGCUUUAUAGUUUAUAUGGUGGUUUCCCAUGUAUGUUAUCUAAUUUCAUCUUCAUAAUGACACUGUGUACUAGAUAUUACUAUUCCCAUUUUACAGACAAGAAAAAAAAAAAGGCCCCAAGAACUUAAAAUCCUUUGCAAAAUCACAUAGAAAGGUUAAGUGGUGAACCCAGUGUUCAAACCUAGGUCUUCUGACUUCAAGCACAAAGCUCUCUCACUACAUUCAGAUCACUUAAAAACACAACAUUUUAUUGUGCCUAUCGUUAAUAAGACUGUAUUGCACACUUAAGAAUUUGUUAAAGAGGGUAGAAUUCAUGCUAAGUAUUCUUACUAAAAUAAUAAAAGUUGUAUGUAUGUAGAAAAAAGUAUUGCUUAAUCUAAUUAAACUAAACAGCUUCUGCACAACAAAAGAAACUAGCAUCAGAGUGAACAGGCAACCUACAGAAUGGGAGAAAAUUUUUGCAAUCUACCCAUAUGACAAAGGCCUAGUAUCCAGAAUCUAUAAGGAACUUAAAUUUACAAGAAACAACCCCAUCAAAAAGUGGGCAAAGGAGAUGAACAAACACUUCUCAAGACAUUUAUGCGGCCAACAAACAUGAAAAAAAGUUCAACAUCACUGAUCAUUAGAGAAAUGCAAAUCAAAACCACAAUGAGAUACCAUCUCCCACCAGUCAGAAUGGCGAUUAAAAAGUCAAGAAACAAUAGAUGCUGGUGAGGCUGCAGAGAAACAGGAAUGCUUUUACACUGUUGGUGGGAAUGUAAAUUAGUUCAACCAUUGUGGAAGACAGUGUGGCGAUUCCUCAAGGAUCUAGAACCAUAAAUGCCAUUUGACCCAGCAAUCCCAUUACUGGUAUAUACCCAAAGGAUUAUAAAUCAUUCUGCUAUAGAGAUGCAUGCACACGUAUGUUUAUUGCAGCACUAUUUACGAUAGCAAAGACUUGGAACCAACCCAAAUGCCCAUUGAUGAUAGACUGGAUAAAGAAAAUGUGGUACAUAUAUACCAUGGAAUACUAUGCAACCAUAAAAAAGGAUGAGUUCAUGUCCUCCUAGUUUUUCCAAAACAAACUAAUGAAAUGUGAAAAGGGUGAAUUCACAAGGGGCUAUACAUAGAAAGAAAGAGCCUGACUGACUUGGCUCCAUCCUCUACUUCUACCUGGGGACAUUUCCAAUCAUCAGAAAGAGGUUAAUGCAAUUGCAGCUCCAGAGUCUCAUCAAACUAUCUUGGAUUCUGCCAUGAUGAAAGGGAAAUGAGGAGAUUACCCAAUAACACCAUCAUGAGGUUGUCCUUAGUAAUACUUCAAUUCUUACAUGGUUGAGGGCCUACUCAAAGUUGUAAAAAUCAGUUUAAGGUAUAGUCCCCUGUUCUACCAAAGCAAGCAAAUAAACUGGUUCCAUAACGUUGAAAAGAUGUAGGGGUGUGUGUGUGUGUAUGUGUGUGUGUGUGUGUAAAUAUCUGCUGCUGCUCUAGGAAAGACCCUGUAAGAGUUAAUGAUACUUAUCUGACAAAUAAUAUCUUACCUCCAAACCCAACCACUACCAUCUCUCUUCCACUAGCAUGUAGUUCUGAGACAGUGUUUAAAAACAGAAGACAAGGCUGGGCGUGGUGGCUCGUGCCUGUAAUCCCAGCACUUUGGGAGGCUGGGGUGGGUGGAUCACUUGAGGUCAGGAGUUCCAGAAAAACAGGAGACAAACUCUUUAAAAAACUAAGAGUUAAGGCCGGGCGUGGUGGCUCAUGCCUGUAAUCCCAGCACUCUAGGAGGCCGAGGUGGGCGGAUCACAAGGUCAGGAGAUCGAGACCAUCCUGGCUAACGCAGUGAAACCCCGUCUCUACUAAAAAUUACAAAAACUUAGCCAGGCGUAGUGGCGGGCACCUGUAGUCCCAGCUACUCGGGAGGCUAAGGCAGAAGAAUGGCAUGAACCUGGGAGGCGGAGCGUGCAGUGAGCUGAGAUCGCGCCACUGCACUCCAGCCUGGGUGACAAAGCGAGACUCCAUCUCAAAAAAACAAACAAACAAAAAAAUUAGAGUUAAGGCCUAAAAUGCAAAUACCCACGGAAGAGGUCAGAUCCUGACAAUGAUCUCAAGAUAUAAAUGACUGAGAUUUGGUUCUAUGUUUGUGAUUAGGUUUAAAGGAUGGUCUGUGUCGGGGUAAUCUGAGAGAAGAUCUUUACUCUCUCAUUUUGGCAUAUUCAUAAAAGUGUACAUUGAAGCACCUGUGUAAUGAAGAGCCCAAAUGAAAUAAAGAACAGGAUUAUGGCAAUAAGAAAAAAAAUAUGAGGAACAGGUAAAACACCCUACAUAUUAGAGGCCUCUUCUUGACCAUAAUGUAAAUUAGGGUUCAUGUUACAUACCUAAUAAUAACAUCACAAAAGUGUGACGCCUGAAACUGAAGUGAUGAUGGAAGCAUGAGCAAAAUAAGUGAAGUCAAUCCAAGUCAAGGAGAAAGAACGGAGGGGUUCCAGCAGGUUCAUGUGUGUGCACGUGUGUGUGCGUGCACACGUGUGUGUGUAUUAGACUGUCUUGAGCUCUCAAUGCCUUUAAACAUUUCCUUGCAUUUUCUCAUUGACUGGGAGGCUUCCAUUAGAUAGAGCCAUCUAGAGCGAUGUUGAAGAAGGCAGCCAUAGGAAACAAACCAAGGUACUAGCUCAUAGAUCUUGCUUGAUAAGGGACCUUCAGAUUUCCUUUUAAGUUGUCCAGUUCAGCACCCAAUGAAAGUAAUGAGACUGUGAGUAAGACCAUUUGGUUUCCAAUUCUAGGUUCAGGUGGCUAAGGGACCCCAGUUGGUAUAAUGAUGGAGAAGCAAUGAAUAGGAAGCAGAAUCUUAGGGAAAAAUGUGAAGUGCGAAGUACUAUAGAAAAUUGUUUUUCAAAAAAAAUUUGUUUACUAUUUUAAGAGGUACUCACUGGUUAAAACACCCAAAUUUAUAACAAAUCUGCAUACGCCUAUGAACCUCAUCUGCCUAUUUUCUACCUGCUGCAGCAAUGAACCUGUUUGAUUAGUUUUAGGAGUAAUAGUCUAAAUAUUUAACAAUAACAUAGGUACUAACUAGCAGAACAGGCAACCUGUAUGGGUGUUAUGGUGAGGACCAGCUGAAUAUCAGUCUUGGGUUAGUUCUCUUUUGUUUUUUUUUUUUUUUUUUUUUUCAGAGACAGAGUCUCACUCUGUCACCCAUGCUGGAGUGCAGUGGCGCAAUCUCGGCUCACUGCAAGCUCUGCCUCCCGGGUUCAUGCCAUUCUCCUGCCUCAGCCUGUUGAGUAGCUGGGACUACAGGCGCUUGUCACCACGCUCAGCUAAUUUUUUUUUUUUUUGUAUUUUUAGUAGACACGGGGUUUCAUCGUGUUAGCCAGGAUGGUCUCGGUCUCCUGACCUCGUGAUCUGCCCGCCUCGGCCUCCCAAAGUGCUGUGAUUAUAGGCGUGAGCCACCGCGCCCGGCCAGUCUUAGGUUAAUUCUUAUUUGUUCUCACUGUUAGGUAGUAUUCAUUUUUUGCUUCAUUUUUAUCUGAAUGAUAAAAUAAUAUACCUAAUAAUAACAUAACUACUCUUCUGACCCUUGCUUUUAUCCACUUAAACAUAUACAUUAGGGAUCCUCCAGGUCAAUACAUACAGACUUUUUUUUUAAAAAAGAUGCUUAGUAUUCCAAUGUAUGGAAAUACCAUAAUUUCACAACUCCAUUACUGGAUAGUCAUUAGAAACCGACUUCGGGGGAAAACAUACGCUCUUUGCAGGAAUUUCUGGGAAAAAAAAUCCCCUCUAGCCCUUUUAGAUAAAAGCCUACCUAAUAGACCUGUGAUAAAAUAGCUUUCUUUUCUUUAUUUUUUUUUUGGAGGAGUCUCACUGUGGCCCAGGCUGCAGUGCAGUGGUAUGAUCUCAGCUCACUGCAACCUUUGCUUCCUGGGUUCAAGCGAUUCUCCUGUCUCAGCCUCCAGAGCAGCUGGGAUUACAGGCGCACACCACCAUGUCCGGCUAAUUUUUGUAUUUUUAGUAGAGAUGGGGUUUCGCCAUGUUGGC